rnacentral:rRNA from 1 species
AGGGCACCACCAGGAGUGGAGCCUGCGGCUUAAUUUGACUCAACACGGGGAAACUCACCCGGCCCGGACACCGGAAGGAUUGACAGAUUGAUAGCUCUUUCUUGAUUCGGUGGAUGGUGGUGCAUGGCCGUUCUUAGUUGGUGGAGCGAUCUGUCUGGUUAAUUCCGAUAACGAACGAGACUCUAGCCUAUUAAAUAGACGUCGGGUUCUCUGCACUCGACGGUCUUCUUAGAGGGACAAGGUGCUUUUAGCACCGCGAAACAGAGCAAUAACAGGUCUGUGAUGCCCUUAGAUGUCCGGGGCCGCACGCGCGCUACACUGAAGGAAGCAGCGUGUAACAACCUUGUUCUAACGAACUGGGUAACCCGUGGAACUUCCUUCAUGAUUGGGAUAGGGGUUUGCAAUUGUGCCCCUUGAACGAGGAAUUCCCAGUAAACACUAGUCAUCAGCUAGUGCUGAUUACGUCCCUGCCCUUUGUACACACCGCCCGUCGCUACUACCGAUCGAGUGAUUUAGUGA